rnacentral:rRNA from 1 species
UACGUAGGGUGCGAGCGUUGCCCGGAUUUAUUGGGCGUAAAGCGCGCGUAGGCGGCCCGGUAAGUCCGUUGUGAAAGUCAAAGGCUCAACCUUUGAACGCCGAUGGAUACUGCCGGGCUAGAGUCCGGAAGAGGCGAGUGGAAUUCCUGGUGUAGCGGUGGAAUGCGCAGAUAUCAGGAGGAACACCAAUAGCGAAGGCAGCUCGCUGGGACGGUACUGACGCUGAGGCGCGAAAGCGUGGGGAGCGAACAGG